UGCGGUGAUGAUGGCUUGAAGGAUACACCUGUUUCCAUUCCGAACACAGAAGUUAAGCUUCAAAACGCCGAUAGUAGUUGGAGGAACGCCUCCUGCGAGGGUAGGAAGUUGCCGUGC
rfam:Lactobacillus aviarius subsp. araffinosus DSM 20653 NODE_13, whole genome shotgun sequence.